rnacentral:lncRNA from 1 species
AAACCUUAGUGCUGUGCCAGAGCCCCGUAACAUUCCUCUGGAUCUUUUCUGCAAUCGAACAUAUGCUUCUGAUCCUGAAAUGGAGCAAGUUGUCAUGCUGACAGUGGUUGGAAUGGACGCUAUGAAGAGUGCCGGAGAGCUCCUUCACCAGAUCCUUCUUCCUGGGUCCAAUAAUCAGUCUUGGAGUGCAGAAGGACCCGAUUUGGGAUUUGAGCUCCUAGGUCUCAAGUGGUUGCCCCAUCUCACUCGACGUCAGGCCAGAGAAAUAACCCCUUUUGAGGUUGGAGAUACUUCCUGGCAAAGAAGCCUUGAUAUACUAAUGUCAAACCCAGUCCUUGUGUGUGCAUUACGGAGGAUCAAUGCCUUCAAAGUUCUUGCAGAUGCAUUGGAGAGAUUAACGCAGUGCAGGGAGAAGCCAAGCAAAAGUGGCAGUCAGCUACAGACAAUAAUGGCCAUGACCCCAGAGGUGACGUUCAGACAAGCCAUCCUCUUCUUUACAGAGACAGAUUUUGUUACUGAUGCAGAACACCGCCCUGCUAUGAAAUACCUGCCACCACCUGGCAAGAGGUCCAGGGCUAAUGUGGGAGAGAUCCAGAGAUGCCCUGCAGAAUCACUGUUUACCUACUUGCAAACAGGAGCCCAGAUUCUUUGCACAGUGCUGCUGAUCAAACCUGGUGCCUGGAGCCGUCGUUUUCCAAGGAUCCUCCAGAAACUAGACCUAGAAAAAUUCCGUGUGGUUGGGAUGAAACACAUAAACCUGGAACCAGACACUGCCUUAGGACUACUUUCUUCCGAAGUGAAACAGGAUCCUGCUGUUUUAGAAGCUCAUUGUACCUACCUUACCUCAGGCACUGCACUUGUGCUGUGUCUUCAGAGGCCAAAUGCUGUGAAGAAGCUGAUAGAUUUACUGGGGCCAGAGGAUCCUAAACUAGCCCAAGCACUAGAUCCGCUCCUCUGGAGGGCUCAGUAUGGCAUCAGCACAGUCCAGAAUGGAUUUUAUGGUAGGUUUUUGUAAAAGAAAAGUCCAAAGACUCAGAUAUGCCA